ensembl:lncRNA coiled-coil domain-containing protein 81-like
GAGUUCCUCCAAAAAGAACCGCACCCCAAGAGCUGAUUCUCUAAAGGCCCUUGUCUUUGGGGUUUCAUGAUGCAUGUUGCAUGGAAAUGUGGCUUGCUGUGGCACUGAGGACGUUCGUUCUGCUUGCAGACUGUGUCAAGGUUGAGCCGCUGAACUACUGGCAGCUAGCGCGAGCCACCGCCUUCCCGCUGCACGUGGUGCAGCUCUGUGUGCAAGAGACCAUCCUCUUGUACUGCCUCUUCCUGAAGGACAAGGUGCACGUCUCGUUCGCCUUCAAGGACUUGGGCGUUCUGACGUGCGAAGAUGACUUCCUCUGCAUGACGUUCUACUACAACUGCACUGCUAUGCCGGAAAGCAAUGCAAGACCGAUUGCAGCGCUCCACAGCUUCCAGGGGCCCUGCCAUCAGGCUGCUGCAGAGGCAGAAGACGCUUCCCCUCUCCGUGCUGCUGAGCUGCGAGCCAGGCAGGAGGCAGCAGGAUGCGUCCAAGAAGCCUUCUGCCAGGUGAGAGCCUUGGGCAAAAUGAGGAAGGAGAUGCGUGAGCUCAUGUCGGAGUCACCUCCCCUUUGGACCUGCCAGCUGUCGGGACUCAGAAAGCCUCCUGACACACAUGCGUCCCAGUGGGGGCCGUUCUCUCAAGGGAUGGCAAGCGCACAGCAUGAUUGCCCAAGGCAGACACGCCAGCUUCAUUUUCCACCCCGGUCCCCCAUCUCUUGGGGUGCUGAAUCCCGAUCCCUAUGGGUCACAGAAGCUCUUCUCCCUUCAGGGGUCUCUCCACAUUGCAACGGAGCCCAUCUUUAUGGUUGUGGGAGCACGAGGGGAGACCAAGGUGCCCCAUGCUCCUGCACACUCCUCUUGGUGUCUGUUUGCAGCGUGCUCCCACCGGGUGCAGGCAGACCCCCCGGGACAAAGAUAGUGGGACAAAAGGAACCAGCUCCUCCAGCCCAGCCCAGCCCAGCGCAGCACUCCCUGCGACGGAAGACUCUAAGAGAGCGCUGCAGGUGCCGGCUCUGCCUUGCUGCAGGGACUGUGCUGCUUGAGAUGGCACAAAUCAUAGAACCAUCGAAUGAUAGAAAGCUUUGGCUUGGAAGGGACCAUUCAGAUCAUCUAGUUCCAAGCCCGCUGCUCUGGGCAGGGACACCUCUCUCUAGACCAGGUUGCUCCAAGCCCAAUCCAGCCUGGUCUUGCGUGCUUCCAUAGGGAGGGGAGCAAAAGCCUCUGAGUGUGCAGCCAUCUGGAGCAGAGCCCUUGGGGUGCCAUCGUUCCACAUCUCUGUCCGCUCCUUCAGCUCCUCUGCAGGAGAUGGAGGGUGCUGCACACCUUCCCUGUCUCUUCUCGCCUCCCGGCCUGCCACCUGGCACAGCACACUGAUUUUGACCAGGGGCUGUGAGAGAGGAACACGGCCAUUCUGCAUCCCUGACAGCAGAGGCCUUGGGUCUCCACAGGUCUCCAGGCUGUUUUUGCCACAAGUUCGGGGCCGCUGGACCUUCAGGGCCAAAGCAGUGCCGGCAGGCCGGCAGAGGCGAGGGGCAGGAGCGCGGAGCUGAAGGAAGGC